rnacentral:rRNA from 1 species
ACCCGCUGAACUUAAGCAUAUCAGUAAGCGGAGGAAAAGAAACUAACUAGGAUUCCCCGAGUAGCGGCGAGCGAAAGGGGAGAAGCCCAGCGCCGAAGCCCGCAGCCCCCGGCUGCAGUGCAAUGUGGCGUUUCGGCGGCGACUCGUCGCGGCCGCUCUGGCACGUGUACCUCUGAAUGGGUCUGCCCGCAGCGGGUGUCAGGCCUCUAGGUGCCAAACGAGCGGUCGUGGCCCGUCGUCGUCGCGGAGUCGGGUUGCUUGAGAGUGCAGCCCAAAGUGGGUGGUAAGCUCCAUCUAAGGCUAAAUACCUAGUGCGAGACCGAUAGCAAACAAGUACCGUGAGGGAAAGUUGCAAAGAACUUUGAAAAGAGAGUUCAAGAGUACGUGAAACCGUUCAGAGGCAAACGGACGGAACUGGGCGAGUUCGCCGCCGCCAUUCAGCCGGCGCGCCUCUCGGGGCGCGACGGUGCACUUGGCGGCGGCGGAGCGCGACGACCGCCUGUCGGGUCGUCUGAAGCCCGGCGGCAAGGUGGCGACGCGCUCGCGCGUCGUGUUACAGGCCGCCGCGGCGUUGGCAGACCUGGCGGGCGAGGAGCGCCUGCGGUGCCCUCCCCUCGCGGGAGCGGCCCGUGCGUUGGGCUCGCGGACGUCGGCGGCGAACUGCUCGCAGUUUGUCGUUUGGCGCUCUGCCUGUCUUGGCGUGCGGUGCCGCGCGGCACCCGGGGUCCGGGUCGUGUGGUUCCUGGCACUCCGUCCGACCCGUCUUGAAACACGGACCAAGGAGUUGAGCACGUGCGCGAGUCGAUGGGCUCUAAGAACCCCAGUGGCGCAGCUAAGGCAAAACGGGCGUGAUCCGGCACGUGAUCGUGCUGGCGCAACGCCGGCCCGCAGCCGACUCGUUGCGAGUGGCUGCGGUGCAAGAGCGUGCGUGCUCAGACCCGAAAGGUGGUGAACUAUGCUUGAGCAGGGCGAAGCCAGAGGAAACUCUGGUGGAGGCUCGCAGCGAUCCUGACGUGCAAAUCGGUCGUCAAACUUGAGCAUAGGGGCGAAAGACUAAUCGAACCGCCUAGUAGCUGGUUCCCUCCGAAGUUUCCCUCAGGAUAGCUGGCACUCGGGAUAAAUGGUUUUAUCCGGUAAAGCGAAUGAUUAGAGGCAUUGGGGACGAAACGUCCUCAACCUAUUCUCAAACUUUAAAUGGGUAAGAGGCGCGACCCUUCCUGAUCGGGGUCGCGUGCUUGAACAGAGAGUGCCCAGUGGGCCGUUUUUGGUAAGCAGAACUGGCGCUGUGGGAUGAACCAAACGUGCGGUUAGGGUGCCUAACGCACGCUCAUGAGACACCACAAAAGGUGUUGGUUGAUAUAGACAGCAGGACGGUGGCCAUGGAAGUCGGAAUCCGCUAAGGAGUGUGUAACAACUCACCUGCCGAAUCAACUAGCCCUGAAAAUGGAUGGCGCUGGAGCGUGCGACCCAUACCGCACCGUCGGGGCAAUGCGUGCGAAAUGCCAGGCCCCGACGAGUAGGAGGGCGCAUCGGUGGCGCUGAAGCGUAGUGCGUGAGCACGCGUGGAGCCGCCUUUGGUGCAGAUCUUGGUGGUAGUAGCAAGUAUACAAAUGAGAACUUUGUAGACCGAAGUGGAGAAGGGUUCCAUGUGAACAGCAGUUGGACAUGGGUCAGUCGGCCCUAAGAGAUCGGAAAAUUCCGUUCUGAACGGGGGAGUGGUGAGCAGUGUGCGUGCCCGGGGCACGCCGGUGCGCUGCGGCGCCGGCGAUCCUCUACUCUCGCAGAGAUAAAAAUUUGGCGUCCGAGGGCGACUCUCAGAGCGGGAGUCGCGUCGUGUGCCCGAGCCAAGUGCGCGCGCGCCGUCAAAGCUGGGUAAGGAUAUGACGGAGCGCGGCCGCGCGUCACUGGCCCGCAUGAGCACGGCCCCCAUGUACAACCGGGGGCGGCGACGCGGCUACACAGCCGCCACCUCAGCUCUCGGACGUUGCAACCCACUCAGCAGUGAGAGAGAGAUCGGUGAGCAACCGGCGCGGGCGUGCCGGCGCGUGUCUCGACGCGCGCGCGGCCGACCGCUAAUGUGCUACCCCGAUGCGAUCGAAAGGGAAUCGGGUUAAUAUUCCCGAACCUGGCAGUGGAGAUUGGGCCCUCGGGCCCCAGUGCGGUAACGCAACCGAACUCGGAGACGCCAGCGUCGAUCCCGGGAAGAGUUCUCUUUUCUUUGUUAGGAGCGGACUCCCUGGAAUUGGCUUGUCCAGAGAUAGGGACGUUGCAUCCGUAAAGCGUCGCGCCUCACGCGGCGUCCGGUGCAUCGGCGCUGGCCCUUGAAAAUCCGAGGAAGGCAGUGUAAUUUUCACUCCAGGCCGUACCCGAAUCCGCAGCAGGUCUCCAAGGUGAACAGCCUCUGGUCGAUAGAACAAUGUAGGUAAGGGAAGUCGGCAAAUCCGAUCCGUAACUUCGGGACAAGGAUUGGCUCUGAGGUGCGGGCUGCUUCGGGUCGCGG